rnacentral:rRNA from 1 species
AGAGUUUGAUCCUGGCUCAGAUUGAACGCUGGCGGCAUGCCUUACACAUGCAAGUCGAACGGUAACAGGUUAAGCUGACGAGUGGCGAACGGGUGAGUAAUAUAUCGGAACGUGCCCAGUCGUGGGGGAUAACUGCUCGAAAGAGCAGCUAAUACCGCAUACGACCUGAGGGUGAAAGCGGGGGAUCGCAAGACCUCGCGCGAUUGGAGCGGCCGAUAUCAGAUUAGGUAGUUGGUGGGGUAAAGGCCCACCAAGCCAACGAUCUGUAGCUGGUCUGAGAGGACGACCAGCCACACUGGGACUGAGACACGGCCCAGACUCCUACGGGAGGCAGCAGUGGGGAAUUUUGGACAAUGGGCGCAAGCCUGAUCCAGCCAUGCCGCGUGCGGGAAGAAGGCCUUCGGGUUGUAAAGCCCUUUUGUCCGGAAAGAAAAGCAUCGGGCUAAUACCUCGGUGUUCUGACGGUACCGGAAGAAUAAGCACCGGCUAACUUCGUGCCAGCAGCCGCGGUAAUACGAAGGGUGCAAGCGUUACUCGGAAUUACUGGGCGUAAAGCGUGCGUAGGUGGUUCGUUAAGUCUGAUGUGAAAGCCCUGGGCUCAACCUGGGAAUUGCAUUGGAUACUGGCGAGCUAGAGUGCGGUAGAGGAUGGCGGAAUUCCCGGUGUAGCAGUGAAAUGCGUAGAGAUCGGGAGGAACAUCUGUGGCGAAGGCGGCCAUCUGGACCAGCACUGACACUGAGGCACGAAAGCGUGGGUAGCAAACAGGAUUAGAUACCCUGGUAGUCC